ensembl:snRNA U4atac minor spliceosomal RNA
ACCAUCCUUUUCUUGGGGUUGCGCUACUGUCCAAUGAACGUUUAGUGAGGACAGUACUGCUAACACCUGCACAACACAUUCGCAUCAACUAAAGCUUCGCUUUACCUUGGUGCAAUUUUUGGAAAA